rnacentral:rRNA from 1 species
UGGGGGAUAUUGCACAAUGGGGGAAACCCUGAUGCAGCAACGCCGCGUGAAGGAAGAAGGUCUUCGGAUUGUAAACUUUUGUCUUGCGGGACGAAUAAUGACGGUACCGCAGGAGGAAGCCACGGCUCACUACGUGCCAGCAGCCGCGGUACUACGUAGGUGGCGAGCGCUGCCCGGAAUUACUGGGUGUAAAGGGUGCGUAGGCGGAUUUGCAAGUCAGGUGUGAAAACUAUCGGCUUAACCGGGAGACUGCACUUGAAACUGUGAGUCUUGAGGGGUGAAGAGGUAAGCGGAAUUCCUAGUGUAGCGGUGAAAUGCGUAGAUAUUAGGAGGAACACCAGUGGCGAAGGCGGCUUACUGGGCACUAACUGACGCUGAGGCACGAAAGCGUGGGGAGCAAUCA